rnacentral:rRNA from 1 species
AGCAGCCGCGGUAAUUCCAGCUCCAAUAGCGUAUAUUAAAGUUGUUGCAGUUAAAAAGCUCGUAGUUGAAUUUCGGGGUUAGUAGGUUGGUCGUGCCACUGGUAUGUACUGGCUUUACUGAUUCCUCCUUCUUGAAGAGCUGUAAUGUCAUUAAUUUGAUGUUGCAGGGAAACAGGACUGUUACUUUGAAAAAAUUAGAGUGUUUAAAGCAGGCACACGCUUGAAUACAUUAGCAUGGAAUAAUGAAAUAGGACGUUUGACCCUAUUUUGUUGGUUUCUAGGAUCGACGUAAUGAUUAAUAGGGAUAGUUGGG